rnacentral:lncRNA from 1 species
GGUGGGUUUGGGGGUCACGUGCAAAUUAGUUGGAGAGAGAGAGAGGAGGGGUCACCUGUGAAUUAGUUGGCGAGCUGCGGGGCUAGUUAUGGAUACUUUAUGUGGGUUUGGCUGCUCAGAGAGAGAGAGAGAGAGAGAUUCGCGGGUUCAGAGAUCACAUGCAAUUAUUUCUGGAAGCGAAGUAUCCAGCUUCGAUUGUCUUGUCUGGCCCCAAGCAAUUUUUUGAAAAUUAGGCUGAAGCCUGAAGGCGACUCCGUGCCGCUGGUUCAUCUGUGGUCGGAUCGCUAACAUCAGUCCGAUGUUAUAAAUAAUUUUUAUUUUAAAAAUCU